CGAUGAAACUUGGUAUCGAACCCAAAAUCUUUCGAUCUCAGAAGUCGAAAUUCUGCCACUGGCAGAUUUCAGC